UGGACCACCAAUGAGAGAGCAAGGCUCAGGGCCUCCCAGGCGGCUGCUCUUCCGGCUCCGGUCCUGGAGGGCCUGUGUUGCUGGCACUACCCUGGGCUAGGUGGUAGGAUCUGAUGGCGUCCGCACAGCCCCCAUUUGGAGGUGGCGCUAGUGGUAAAGAACUUGCCUGCCGAUACAGAUGAGAGUUUGAUUCCUGGGUCAGGAAGAUCCCCUGGAAAGAGGGCACGGAAACCCACUCCAGUAUUCUUGCUUGGAAAAUCUCAUGGACAGAGGAGCCUGGUGGGCUACAGUCCAUGGGCUUGCAAAGAGCCGGACAUGACUGAAGCGACUGAGCACAGCACAGCACAUAGCUUUAUAAUGUUGUGUUAGUUUCAGGUAUAUAGUGAAAUGAUUCAGUUGUACAUAUGUAUUAUAUAUAUGUAUUCUUUUUCAGAUUCUUUUCCCAUAUAGGUUAUUACAGAAUAUUGAGUAG
ensembl:lncRNA